UGUCUGACAGCUGCUAGCCUGAUUUCUUUUCCUGACCACGUGAAUACUUCUGUUCUCAUCUUGGCCCAGGAAGAAACUGUGUGACUUUCGGCAAAGUUCUCUCUGGUCCUCCAACUAUUUGUUGACAGGAGGGUAUCUCACUGGUCUGUAAUUUGCCAAGCAGGCUAGGAUGGAUGAACAAGGAAUUCCAGGAAUCCACCAGCCUCUACUCCCUCUGUGGGGAGAUUACACAAAUAAUGCAUUCCAGAGACUUCUUGAUCUGCUGGCCCUUCCACCCCCACCCGAGUCCAUGCGGAAAGUGAAUGUGAGCAGUGACAGAGCCAGCUCUCCUCCUCUUUCCAACUGCUGCUUUUCUACCUCAAGAACAACUGGUAGCAGAAACUCCAGUAGAAUCCCACUCCUUCACCUUCAUGUAGGAUGCAAUCAUGGUCCCCAAGACUAGCGACUUCGUACUUCAUCCAAAGGCUGCUGUUUUGUUCAGAAGUACAAGCAAUUGGUUGAAGAUGCUGUUCCAGGAGUGGAUGUCCUUUAACCCUGAGUUACUGUGGCUGCCUGGGUUUGAG